rnacentral:rRNA from 1 species
AUUGAACGCUGGCGGCAUGCUUUACACAUGCAAGUCGGACGGCAGCACAGAGAAGCUUGCUUCUUGGGUGGCGAGUGGCGAACGGGUGAGUAAUAUAUCGGAACGUACCGAGUAAUGGGGGAUAACUAAUCGAAAGAUUAGCUAAUACCGCAUAUUCUCUGAGGAGGAAAGCAGGGGACCUUCGGGCCUUGCGUUAUUCGAGCGGCCGAUAUCUGAUUAGCUAGUUGGUGGGGUAAAGGCCUACCAAGGCGACGAUCAGUAGCGGGUCUGAGAGGAUGAUCCGCCACACUGGGACUGAGACACGGCCCAGACUCCUACGGGAGGCAGCAGUGGGGAAUUUUGGACAAUGGGCGCAAGCCUGAUCCAGCCAUGCCGCGUGUCUGAAGAAGGCCUUCGGGUUGUAAAGGACUUUUGUCAGGGAAGAAAAGGCUGUUGCUAAUACCGUCAGCUGAUGACGGUACCUGAAGAAUAAGCACCGGCUAACUACGUGCCAGCAGCCGCGGUAAUACGUAGGGUGCGAGCGUUAAUCGGAAUUACUGGGCGUAAAGCGAGCGCAGACGGUUACUUAAGCAGGAUGUGAAAUCCCCGGGCUCAACCUGGGAACUGCGUUCUGAACUGGGUGACUAGAGUGUGUCAGAGGGAGGUAGAAUUCCACGUGUAGCAAUGAAAUGCGUAGAGAUGUGGAGGAAUACCGAUGGCGGAGGCAGCCUCCUGGGAUAACACUGACGUUCAUCUCUAAAAUGGGGAGCGGCAGAAUAAAGACCCGGGGGGGCAAGGGAGUACACCCCGGGGGGGAGGGGCGCCGGACCUCCCCCCCCACGGGGGGGGGGGGGGGCCGCCUCUUUUUUUUUUUAAAAAUAAAAAAAAAAAAAAGG